GCUUCCGCCCNUUAGCNCNGCAGUUANUGCAUUAACCACUCCGCCUUGGGGAGUACGACCGCAAGGUUGAAACUCAAAGGAAUUGACGGGGACCCGCNCAAGCGGUGGAGCAUGUGGUUUAAUUCGAAGCAACGCGAAGAACCUUACCAAAUCUUGACAUCCUCUGACCCCUCUAGAGAUAGAGUUUUCCCCUUCGGGGGACAGAGUGACAGGUGGUGCAUGGUUGUCGUCAGCUCGUGUCGUGAGAUGUUGGGUUAAGUCCCGCAACGAGCGCAACCCUUAAGCUUAGUUGCCAUCAUUAAGUUGGGCACUCUAAGUUGACUGCCGGUGACAAACCGGAGGAAGGUGGGGAUGACGUCAAAUCAUCAUGCCCCUUAUGAUUUGGGCUACACACGUGCUACAAUGGACAAUACAAAGGGCAGCGAAACCGCGAGGUCAAGCAAAUCCCAUAAAGUUGUUCUCAGUUCGGAUUGUAGUCUGCAACUCGACUAUAUGAAGCUGGAAUCGCUAGUAAUCGUAGAUCAGCAUGCUACGGUGAAUACGUUCCCGGGUCUUGUACACACCGCCCGUCACACCACGAGAGUUUGUAACACCCGAAGCCGGUGGAGUAACCAUUGGAGCUAGCCUCGAAGGGACAA
rnacentral:rRNA from 1 species